rnacentral:sRNA from 2 species
UCGCGUAAAGCGCCGAAGGCAGGAGCGGGGGACCCAAGGUAAGCGCCGUUCCCGGCCGUCGAGAGACGGCUGACGACCGGCUGGGGUGGAGCCACGUGCCAAGCGCGCGUGGCCGGGCAACUCACUUGGCCCGAACCCGACAGCUCACCUCGUAGGCGUCGGUGAGGAGAUGC